GAAUUCGCCCUUAGAGUUUGAUCCUGGCUCAGGACGAACGCUGGCGGCGUGCUUAACACAUGCAAGUCGAGCGGGGAUCCCCGAAGUUUUCGGAUGGAGGGGAUUCCAGCGGCGGACGGGUGAGUAACGCGUGAGCAAUCUGUCCCGGAAUGGGGGAUAACAGAUGGAAACAUCUGCUAAUACCGCAUAAGACCACGAGGUCACAUGGCCUUGGGGUAAAAGGCGCAAGCCGAUUCGGGGUGAGCUCGCGUCCGAUUAGCUGGUUGGCGGGGUAAGAGCCCACCAAGGCGACGAUCGGUAGCCGACCUGAGAGGGUGAUCGGCCACACUGGAACUGAGAAACGGUCCAGACUCCUACGGGAGGCAGCAGUGGGGAAUAUUGGGCAAUGGGGGAAACCCUGACCCAGCAACGCCGCGUGAGGGAAGAAGGUUUUCGGAUUGUAAACCUCUGUCCUUGGUGAAGAAAAGAAUGACGGUAGCCAAGGAGGAAGCCCCGGCUAACUACGUGCCAGCAGCCGCGGUAAUACGUAGGGGGCGAGCGUUGUCCGGAAUGACUGGGCGUAAAGGGCGUGUAGGCGGCCGAUUAAGUCCGGAGUGAAAGUCCUGCUUUCAAGGUGGGAAUUGCUUUGGAAACUGGUAGGCUUGAGUGCGGAAGAGGUAAGUGGAAUUCCCAGUGUAGCGGUGAAAUGCGUAGAGAUUGGGAGGAACACCAGUGGCGAAGGCGACUUACUGGGCCGUAACUGACGCUGAGGCGCGAAAGCGUGGGGAGCGAACAGGAUUAGAUACCCUGGUAGUCCACGCGGUAAACGAUGAAUGCUAGGUGUAGGGGGUAUCGACCCCUCCUGUGCCGGAGUAAACACAAUAAGCAUUCCGCCUGGGGAGUACGGCCGCAAGGUUGAAACUCAAAGGAAUUGACGGGGGCCCGCACAAGCAGCGGAGCAUGUUGUUUAAUUCGAUGCAACGCGAAGAACCUUACCAGGUCUUGACAUCGACGUAAGCCAUCAGAGAUGAUGGGUGCCUUCGGGCAACGGAAGACAGGUGGUGCAUGGUUGUCGUCAGCUCGUGUCGUGAGAUGUUGGGUUAAGUCCCGCAACGAGCGCAACCCCUGUUGCCAGUUAC
rnacentral:rRNA from 1 species